rnacentral:rRNA from 1 species
CGUGAGGGAGGAGGCUCUUGGGUCGUAAACCUCUUUUCUCAGGGAAGAAACAAUGACGGUACCUGAGGAAUAAGCAUCGGCUAACUCCGUGCCAGCAGCCGCGGUAAUACGGAGGAUGCAAGCGUUAUCCGGAAUGAUUGGGCGUAAAGCGUCCGCAGGUGGCUAUGUAAGUCUGCUGUUAAAGAGUCUAGCUCAACUAGAUAAGAGCAGUGGAAACUACAUGGCUAGAGUGCGUUCGGGGCAGAGGGAAUUCCUGGUGUAGCGGUGAAAUGCGUAGAGAUCAGGAAGAACACCGGUGGCGAAGGCGCUCUGCUAGGCCGCAACUGACACUGAGGGACGAAAGCUAGGGGAGCGAAUGGGAUUAGAUACCCCCCGUAAACGAUGGAUACUAGGCGUG